GACGAACGCUGGCGGCGUGCCUAAUACAUGCAAGUAGAACGCUGAAGGAGGAGCUUGCCCUUCUGGAUGAGUUGCGAACGGGUGAGUAACGCGUAGGUAACCUGCCUGGUAGCGGGGGAUAACUAUUGGAAACGAUAGCUAAUACCGCAUAACAUUGACUAUUGCAUGAUAGUCAAUUGAAAGGUGCAAAUGCACCACUACCAGAUGGACCUGCGUUGUAUUAGCUAGUUGGUGGGGUAACGGCUCACCAAGGCUACGAUACAUAGCCGACCUGAGAGGGUGAUCGGCCACACUGGGACUGAGACACGGCCCAGACUCCUACGGGAGGCAGCAGUAGGGAAUCUUCGGCAAUGGACGGAAGUCUGACCGAGCAACGCCGCGUGAGUGAAGAAGGUUUUCGGAUCGUAAAGCUCUGUUGUAAGAGAAGAACGAGUGUGAGAGGGAAAGUUCACACUGUGACGG
rnacentral:rRNA from 1 species